GAUGAGGUGGCUGUGUGGUUAAACUGAUGGACUGCUAAGCCAUUGUGCUCUGCACGCAUGGGUUCAAAUCCUAUCCUCACUG
rnacentral:tRNA from 1 species